rnacentral:tRNA from 1 species
GGUCUUUAGGUGUCAAGCAUAUAAAAUUGCAAGUUUUAAGGGUUAUAAGACUU